UUAAUAGAUACUUUCUGGGAGUCCGUGCAUUACAGUUUCAAGAAGUAGACAGUACAGUAUGCGAUGGAAGGAUAUAUUCACCAUGUUAAGCUUCAAGAAAACCACAUUGAGGGCGAAAUUGUGUCUGUCUGAAGGAAAACGAGAGAAGCAAGUCAUUCUUGGUAUCAUAUAUACGUUUCGUAGAGGCUGAUGAUGACAAGAUAAAAAGUCAACACUGCUCCUGCACUGCCAGAUCACCUGCGCGCAGGGUGCUGGAGACUGACUGCUGAUUUAGGAGUGGAAGCAGCUUGGGGCCUUUCCCUCUCAGCCAAUCGUGGUGUGACGACGCCCCUUUUCUGAAGGCUUAAAAGAGACUUGUCAUCAACACAGAUUCUCCGUGUUUUUAUUUCUGAUUAGCUCACAUGACUGCUGCUUUGCUGAGACACAGAACUGUGCAGCUCCUCUUGUGACCACUAGUGAGCAGCAGCAGGCACCCUGAUCUGUCACCAGGUAGCAGACUUGAGGAGAUAAAUAUUGCUCCAGCGGGGGACGUUACAGAGGGACCCUUUGGCCCAGUUUAAAGCCCUGUAAAGUGUUUGGACCAGAAGCCCUAAGUCCGUCCCCCUCAGCUCAGUGGCUCAGGGGCUCAGAGGUGUGGAUCGAUGAGCCCCUGACUCGACUGCACAGCAGCUACACAUUCUGUAAUGCAGUAAUGUAGUUCAUAAAUAUUGACCACACAGCUGAAAUGGCAGAUAUAAAUCCUGAAGGGACGUCCGUGGAGGAUAAUGGGAGAGAUGGAGGGCAACAGUGGACUACAGGAAACAGAUCAAACUGCUGACAUCCACCAUGCUGCAUCAGAGGUUCAUGAGGCUGAUUACAGCAGGUUAACAGGACAGAGCUGAAUAGAAUAAAUUAGAAACAUGUCAGAGUCAUAGCUUGUGUGUGUGUGUGUGUGUGUGUGUGUGUGUGUGUGUGUGUGUGUGUGUGUGUGUGUGUGUGUGUGUGUGUGUGAAUGGCCUCUUACCUGAUAAUGUCAACCUCUUUCAAAAUGUAGUGUUAAACUCUCCAACAUUUCCUUAUCUAUGUUUAUGGUUUUGCUGAAUUAUGUGUUAAAUUUGUGAAAUUGUCCAAUCAAAUAUACAAUAAAUACAAAUCCAAUA